rnacentral:rRNA from 1 species
UACGUAGGGUGCGAGCGUUGUUCGGAUUCAUUGGGCGUAAAGGGUGCGUAGGCGGCGCGGUAAGUCGGGUGUGAAAUCUCGGAGCUUAACUCCGAAACUGCAUUCGAUACUGCCGUGCUUGAGGACUGGAGAGGAGACUGGAAUUUACGGUGUAGCGGUGAAAAUGCGUAGAUAUCAGGAGGAACACCGGUGGUGUAGACGGCUUACUGGACCACGACUGACACUGAGGCACGAAAGCGUGGGUAGCAAACAGG